UAGCAACCACAACAACAGCCGCUGUUGCUGGUGGUGGUGGUGGUGGUGUUGCUACUGCUGGUGGAAGUAGCAGCGAUCCUCCUCCUGCUCCUUCUACUCAUCAGCUACCUGGUGGUGGUGGUGCCCAUGAAAGCUCUAGUGAAGUUGGGCAUGUGGGCUCGAACAAUUCAUGUGAAGAUGAUAAAGGAAGAGGCGAUGAAGGUGACCGCAGCUUUGGAGGUAACCGGUGGCCAAGACAAGAGACUUUGGCACUCUUGAAAAUAAGGUCGGAUAUGGACGUGGCGUUUCGAGAUGCCAGUGUAAAGGGUCCCUUGUGGGAAGAGGUUUC
rnacentral:misc_RNA from 1 species